rnacentral:rRNA from 1 species
AUUGAACGCUGGCGGCAGGCCUAACACAUGCAAGUCGAGCGGAUGAAGGGAGCUUGCUCCUGGAUUCAGCGGCGGACGGGUGAGUAAUGCCUAGGAAUCUGCCUGGUAGUGGGGGAUAACGUCCGGAAACGGGCGCUAAUACCGCAUACGUCCUGAGGGAGAAAGUGGGGGAUCUUCGGACCUCACGCUCUCAGAUGAGCCUAGGUCGGGUUAGCUAGUUGAUGGGGUAAAGGCCUACCAAGGCGACGAUCCGUAACUGGUCUGAGAGGAUGAUCAGUCACACUGGAACUGAGACACGGUCCAGACUCCUACGGGAGGCAGCAGUGGGGAAUAUUGGACAAUGGGCGAAAGCCUGAUCCAGCCAUGCCGCGUGUGUGAAGAAGGUCUUCGGAUUGUAAAGCACUUUAAGUUGGGAGGAAGGGCAGUAAGUUAAUACCUUGCUGUUUUGACGGUACCAACAGAAGAAGCACCGGCUAACUUCGUG